CCAGCUUCAUGAAAAAUAUUUUUCCAUUCUUCUUCGGUUCUCUCUUUUCCAUGAUUGAGAAUAAUAUGCAUGCUUAUAUUCAUAAGAAAUUUGAGUCGAGUAAUUUCAGGCUCAUCUUGUUCUUCAUUUAUCACCGCCUCUAAAAUGAUUAUUUUACCUUUAUUUUUAUUUUUACUUGAAGUAUUAACAGCAUCUUUACAGUUUCUCAAUAUUUUUACGCAAUUGUCG